AACACAUGCAAGUCGAGCGGGCCCUUCGGGGUCAGCGGCGGACGGGUGAGUAACGCGUGGGAACGUGCCUUCUGGUUCGGAAUAACCCUGGGAAACUAGGGCUAAUACCGGAUACGCCCUUUUGGGGAAAGGUUUACUGCCGGAAGAUCGGCCCGCGUCUGAUUAGCUAGUUGGUGGGGUAACGGCCUACCAAGGCGACGAUCAGUAGCUGGUCUGAGAGGAUGAUCAGCCACACUGGGACUGAGACACGGCCCAGACUCCUACGGGAGGCAGCAGUGGGGAAUAUUGGACAAUGGGCGCAAGCCUGAUCCAGCCAUGCCGCGUGAGUGAUGAAGGCCUUAGGGUUGUAAAGCUCUUUUAUCCGGGACGAUAAUGACGGUACCGGAGGAAUAAGCCCCGGCUAACUUCGUGCCAGCAGCCGCGGUAAUACGAAGGGGGCUAGCGUUGCUCGGAAUCACUGGGCGUAAAGGGCGCGUAGGCGGCGUUUUAAGUCGGGGGUGAAAGCCUGUGGCUCAACCACAGAAUGGCCUUCGAUACUGGGACGCUUGAGUAUGGUAGAGGUUGGUGGAACUGCGAGUGUAGAGGUGAAAUUCGUAGAUAUUCGCAAGAACACCGGUGGGCGAAGCGGCCAACUGGACCAUUACUGACGCUGAG
rnacentral:rRNA from 1 species